rnacentral:rRNA from 1 species
CCUACGGGAGGCAGCAGUGAGGAAUAUUGGUCAAUGGGCUUACGCCUGAACCAGCCAAGUCGCGUGAGGGAAGACUGCCCUAUGGGUUGUAAACCUCUUUUGUCAGGGAGCAACGCCGGCUACGUGUAGCCGGACUGAGAGUACCUGAAGAAAAAGCAUCGGCUAACUCCGUGCCAGCAGCCGCGGUAAUACGGAGGAUGCGAGCGUUAUCCGGAGUUAUUGGGUUUAAAGGGUGCGUAGGCGGAUUGCCAAGUCAGCGGUAAAAUCGCGGGGCUCAACCUCGCUCCGCCGUUGACACUGGCGUUCUUGAGUGGGCGAGAGGUAUGCGGAAUGCGUGGUGUAGCGGUGAAAUGCAUAGAUAUCACGCAGAACUCCGAUUGCGAAGGCAGCAUACCGGCGCCCAACUGACGCUGAAGCACGAAAGCGUGGGUAUCGAACAGGAUUAGAUACCCUUGUAGUC